rnacentral:rRNA from 1 species
GAUGAACGCUGGCGGCGUGCUUAACACAUGCAAGUCGAACGGAAAGGCUCCUGCUUGCAGGGGUACUCGAGUGGCGAACGGGUGAGUAACACGUGGGUGAUCUGCCCUGCACUUCGGGAUAAGCCUGGGAAACUGGGUCUAAUACCGGAUAGGACGAUGGUUUGGAUGCCAUUGUGGAAAGUUUUUCGGUGUGGGAUGAGCUCGCGGCCUAUCAGCUUGUUGGUGGGGUAAUGGCCUACCAAGGCGUCGACGGGUAGCCGGCCUGAGAGGGUGUACGGCCACAUUGGGACUGAGAUACGGCCCAGACUCCUACGGGAGGCAGCAGUGGGGAAUAUUGCACAAUGGGCGCAAGCCUGAUGCAGCGACGCCGCGUGGGGGAUGACGGCCUUCGUGUUGUAAACUCCUUUCGCUAGGGACGAAGCGCAAGUGACGGUACCUGGAGAAGAAGCACCGGCUAACUACGUG